rnacentral:rRNA from 1 species
GGCUCAGGACGAACGCUGGCGGCGCGCCUAACACAUGCAAGUCGAGCGAGAACCAGGGCUUCGGCUCUGGGGACAGCGGCGAACGGGUGAGUAACACGUGGAUAACCUGCCCUCGGCACCGGAAUAGCCCGGGGAAACCCGGAUUAAUGCCGGAUGGCCCCACAUCCCUGCGGGGAACGUGGGAAAAGGUAGCUUCGGCCUCUGGCCGAGGAUGGGUCCGCGGUGGAUUAGCUUGUUGGCGGGGUAAUGGCCCACCAAGGCGACGAUCCAUAGCUGGUCUGAGAGGACGAUCAGCCACACUGGGACUGAGACACGGCCCAGACUCCUACGGGAGGCAGCAGUGGGGAAUCUUGCGCAAUGGGCGAAAGCCUGACGCAGCGACGCCGCGUGCGGGAAGAAGGCCUUCGGGUUGUAAACCGCUUUCAGGAGGGACGAAGCCACUCGGGUGAAUAGCCCAGAGGGUGACGGUACCUCCAGAAGAAGCCCCGGCUAACUACGUGCCAGCAGCCGCGGUAAUACGUAGGGGGCAAGCGUUGUCCGGAUUCAUUGGGCGUAAAGAGCGUGUAGGCGGCCAGGUAGGUCGGUUGUGAAAACUGGAGGCUCAACCUUCAGAGGUCGACCGAAACCAUCUGGCUAGAGUCCGGGAGAGGAGAGUGGAAUUCCUGGUGUAGCGGUGAAAUGCGCAGAUAUCAGGAAGAACACCCGUGGCGAAAGCGGCUCUCUGGAACGGUACUGACGCUGAGACGCGAAAGCGUGGGGAGCGAACAGGAUUAGAUACCCUGGUAGUCCACGCCGUAAACGAUGGGCGCUAGGUGUGGGAGGUGUCGACUCCUUCCGUGCCGCAGCUAACGCAUUAAGCGCCCCGCCUGGGGAGUACGGCCGCAAGGCUAAACUUUAAU